CCAUUGGCGCGUUCGAAGCGGGCGGCGGCGGGAUGGCCGCGAAGCGGCUGCGGGGCGCGCUCGGCGAGUGGCGGCUGCCAGAUGCGAAUGCAGUGUGGGUGGAUGCAGUGUGGGAUCUGGAUUUCACAGACACUGAGCCUCUGGAUCCCCGGAUAGCAGAGGAGAUCACAACCAAUGGGCUGAGCACCUUUACCUGCCUGUACCAAGCUCUGGAGCCCUUUGCUGCUGGGGACCAGGAGAACACAGAGAAUGUCUGGACCUUGUUUGCUGAGGAGAGCCUGUCCCACCAGGCCCUCGUGGCUGUGCUGCAUCACUUUGUGCACGUGGGCCAGCAGAAGAGAGCGAGUGCACAGCAGAGGGUGUUUGCUCUGCACUCAGCUGGGCUGUACCUGCUGCUGCUGGAGAUCCCAGGCAGCAUAGCCAACCAGCUGUUCCACCAAGUGAUGUUUGAUAAGUGUCUUUACGCCAUGACAAAAUGCAUGCCUCGAGAGCUGAAGAAAAGGAAGAAGGCACAGGCUCAAAGCUCUCAGCCCAGUGCCAGAAGGACUAGAAAAAAAGGGAAACCGUGCAGGAAUGACAACUUCAGUAUGGAAGAGAUGUUGGAAGAGGAGGAGGAAGAGGAUGGUGAGGAUGUUUACCUCUCCAAAGAAGAUCUUCUCCAAGUCCGUGACGCCAUUUUCCUUCUUUUGAAGAACUUGCUCAGACUUCUGCCCAAAUUCUCUCUAAAAGAAAAGCCGCAGUGCAUGCAGAACUGCCUGCAGGUCUUUGUUGAGAUGACCAGCUUUGAGCCAGUGCUCCACGAGAUCAAGUUUUCAGCAGCAAUGGAUAUCAACAAAGCUAAGUACAUUCCUGAGCUGGCGUAUUAUGGACUUUACUUACUGUGUUCCCCUCUCCAUGGCACAGAAGAUAAGACCCUUCGAGGCAUGUUCCAGCUGCUCCUGGGUGUGGUUCUGAUGGUGCAGAGCAGAGGGGGCUCCAGGCGUGAGGCCCUUCCCAUCACAGCAGCUGUGACCAGCGCCAGGGACCAGGCUGUGAAAUUCAUCAGUUCUCUGGUAGAUGAGCUGAAGGAAGCUAUUUACCCUGUCCUGCGAAUAUUGCUUCAACAUAUCUGUGCCAAGGUCCCAGACAAGGCUGAGUAUCGCAGCUCUGCUGCCCAGGCCCUGGUGACCCUGCUGGACAAAUUCCAUUGUGCAGAGUUCGCUGACUUCAUCGCUUGGCUUUAUAAAUUCUCCCUCAACCUACAAGUUUCCUACAGAGUGUUUGCUCUUGAUGUAGCCUUGGCUUUGUUGGAGCUGCCAGAGAGGAGCCCAGACACCUCCUUGUCCCAGGAUCGUCAGAAGUUCCUAAAACACAAGUUUUUAGUGCAGGUCAUGGUGUUUGGCCGCUGCUCAGACAUUGCCCCCGUGGUCAGGAGCAAAGCUCUCAGCAGCUUUGUCCAUUGUCUGGAAAUGAAAGCUGCUGCUAUCUCGGAGAGCAUUCAGCACUUACUACAGAGCUCCUCUGUCCGCACAGUGUCAGAAGCAAACACAAACACUGCAAGCACGACAGUCAGUGCAGAAGGUACAGAGUCAUUCUUUUCCACUGUGUCCAACCAACCACUGAAGACCUUCCAAACUGUUGAGCUGACAGACAGCAGUGAUACUGCUGGGCCUGAUGGAGAAGUAGUCAUGGCCAUGCUGAGAGUGAGAGCUGGAGAUGAGAAAACCAGCGUGAGGAAAUCUGCUCUGCAGGUGUUUGAGAGCAUCCUGAGGCAGGGGCUGGUGCCAUGCACGGAGGAGGACGUGGGCGUGCUGCGGGACCGCUGCCGCGACCCUGCCGUGUCGGUGCAGAAGCAGGCGCUGCUCUCCAUCACCGAGCUGCUCCUGUCUCAGCAGAGCAAUGUCCUGGUGCAGAAGGCCUGGUUGAACGGAGUGGUGCCUGUGGUGAUGGAUGCAGAAAGCUCUGUCCAAGAAAAGGCCUUGGAUUGCCUUGAUCAGCUCUUGCUGCAACAUAUAAAAUGUUACAAUAAAUCCAGGAGUGAGGAUGGGAGACAGAAGCUGGCAUGGGAUCUGCUCUCCCUGUUGUCUUCAGAGUGCCAGGAGCUGAGCCGUUACCUGAGUAAAGCCUUCCUUAUGUUGUCCAAGCAGAACAAAUUCACCUCCACUUUUAUCAGAAAUGUCAUGUCUCAUGUGGAGACAGAGCAUUCCAGUGCAGCUUGGAUGCUGCUUGCCAAGGUAGCUCGUUCUUCCCCCAAGUUGGAUUAUUCCAAGAUCAUUGAAUCCUGGGACACUGUCAACAGGCAGCAGGACAUGAGCAGUGGCACCGUGGGACACAUCCUGUGUGUCAUCGGGCAUGUGGCAAAGCACCUCCCCAAGAGCACCUGUGAGAGGCUGAAGGAGAACAUCAGGAGCUGGCUGAAGGAGUUCCAAUGUCCCCUGGAUGUGAUCAGUCCUGCUGUGGAGGCUCUGCAGAGGCUCUGCCAGGCCUCUGUAGCUGCACCAAAGAACACACAGGAGCUCCUCAACCAGCAAAACCAGGUGUUUGGAGUUUUGGUAUCCACCUGUGAGAGCUACAUCUCCAGCAUAGUCCUCAAAGAGCAUGGAGCAGAGCAGCUGCAGGAAGAUCUCUUGGUUAGACACCUCUUCCUUCUGGGUGAGGCUGCCCAGAUGUGCCCAGGCAUGGUGGAUGAAAACAUCUUCCUUCUGGUUCAGUCCAUCCUGGCCUCUUCUGGCAGCAAGGACCAACCCUCUGCUUCUACAGAUAGUGAGGAAAUCCCUGGUUUCCAGCUGCUGUCCCAGUUCAGAGCCCCAGCCAUGCCCACCGUGGUCAGGGCUCACGCUCUUAUCACUUUAGGGAAGCUGUGCCUGCAGCACGAGGAGCUGGCCAGGAGCUGCAUUGCGGCGGUGGUGCGGGAGAUGGAGGAGUCCCCGGCCAUGCCCCUGCGCAACAACGCGGUGAUCGUGCUGCGCGACCUGUGCGUGCGCUACACCUCGCUGGGGGAGCCCUACGUGCCAAACAUGUCCCUGUGCCUGCGGGACCCCCACCCCUUCAUCCGCAGGCAGACUCUGGUCAUGCUCACCAACCUCCUGCAGGAGGAGUAUGUGAAAUGGAAGGGCUGUCUCUUCUUUCGGUUUGUCAGCGUCUUGGUGGAUCCAGACCCAGAUAUUGCCAGGUUUGCAGAGUACUGUGUGGUGCAUGUCUUGCUGAAGAGGAACCCUACCAUGUUCUCCCAGCACUUCAUCGAGUGCAUCUUCCAUUUCAACAGCUACGAGAAUCAUCAGAAGUACAACAGGUUCCCCCAGAGCCUGCGGGCGAAGCAGCUCUUCUCUCUGAAGGGGAAGGAUAACAAGGAGAAGAGGAUGAGGAUCUACACCUUCCUGCUGGACCAUUUCACAAAUCAGCAGAGGUUCAACAUCACCACCAGGAUCAGCCACAACAUCCUGGCUUGCUUUGUGGAUGAGGUCCUUCCUUUGGACCUGGAAGGCAGUGAGCUGCUCUCAGAUGCAUUUGCAAUCCUCAGCUGCAAAGAAAUCAAGCUCUCAGGUAUGAGGUCCAGAACAGAGGAAGACAUUCAGCCUGACGAAAAUGAGCUGUCCAUGAAAAACUUAAUCUCGCAGGUUCAGAAGAAGUAUUUCAUCGAGCACAUCAUCCCAAUAAUCACAUCACUCAAGUCCAUGAUGGAGCAGAAAAGGCUGCCAGCUCUCAAGGACCUGAUGAACUGCCUACGGGAAAUGAUGCAAGAUUACAGAAACGAAAUCAAAGACGUGUUUGCUGCGGACAAGCAGCUGGCAGCCGAGCUGGAGUAUGACAUGAGGAAAUAUGAGGAGCAGCUGGCCAGGGAGAAGGAGUCAGACCAAGAGCAGCUCUCAGCAGCCCACGGGGAGGUGCAAUCCCCACCUCUGGAGAGAGCUGCCACUCCUGGUGGUCAGAAUAACAACAAUGCUCAGUCCACACCUGGCUCCAUCACUCCCUCUGGCCCUCCUGGCCCUUCUCAUGCUGAUGCUCUGAGGCAGCCAGCAGAGCGUCGCAGGGCAGCAUCCCUGACCACGCUGGCCAUCCUGAACUCUGCCAAGAAAGCCUUACAAGACAUGAACAAGCGAUGGAGCAAGAGUGUGGGGGGGUCAGCUUCCUCUGAGGCACCGAGCACAGCUGGCAGCCAGCAAGUGUCCUUCCAAAGCCUGAACCAACAGUCCAGUGGAGAAAAGGUGGCUGUGGCAGGGCGAGCAAUCAGCACCCCAGAGCAGACCAUUAAUGACUUGACUUUUGGUACUGGGGUCAGUUACAUCAGCUUGAGACACGCACCUGGCUCAGCUCCAGGCAAGUCAUCUCUGUGAUUCUUAUUUGAGGGGAGGGGAAGGGAAAAAAAAAGAAACAAGCAUAUCACCAAAUCGAUUUUUGUAUGGCAUUUUGUAAAAUAUGAAUAUCUAUCUAUUGUUUGCAGUGGAGAAGGAUGCUGAGGAUAAGCCAAGGGACAUCAUCUGUUUGACACUGCCAGAGAUAAGCCCACCCCCACCCCGGGAGUGGAAUGUGGAGUCCCCAGCCAGGAGGAGCAGCCAGCGAGUGUCACAGCGACAGGCCAAGCACAGAACCCCCUUGAGGGCAGAGAAGUGACCUGCCCUGGAGCCCUGCACAGAGCCACCACUGCCUGGGACUGUCCCUCCCCUCUGCAAUCACACAUGGUGUGAAUGCACAUCCCUCUUCCGCUCUUCUGAGCUGGUUUUUUCCCAGCUGGUUUUUGCCCAUCGUUCUGGAGAUGGGCAAAGCCUGCAUUAGCACAUGGAUGGGUGACAAGUGCUGUCCUCACAGAGCUCACUGGAGGGCUCAGAGCUGCAGUAUAAAAGGAGGGUGGCUCUUCACUCUCAGGAUGUGUAAUUUGUCCAUUUGGAAAAGUGAGGGCAUAACGUUGCCACGAGCUUGGCAAUAAAUGCAUUUAUCACAGCUUGCAGGGCAGUGAGGGCUGGGUUUACUCACCCAAUCCUUCAUUGUCCCUCUUGCUUAUAUAAUAGAGUUGCUUUAAUUUGAACAAAGGUAAAACAGCUUGUCACUGCCACACCCCUAAAUCUGGUAAUUGCACGCUACAUCACCUCUUAUUUGUUGUGCAAACUCCUGUGUGUAUGAACAGCCUUAAUGUUUCUUUUUAUAUGGAAUACUUCCAUUCUUGAACUGUGUUAUUUCCUACCAUUAGCAUUUGAUGAAAAUAAAUGGUUGCAGAAUUAAUUCCA